rnacentral:misc_RNA from 1 species
GAUGAAGAACGUAGCGAAAUGCGAUAACUAGUGUGAAUUGCAGAUUUCAGUGAAUCAUCGAGUCUUUGAACGCACAUUGCGCCCCCUGGUAUUCCGGGGGGCAUGCCUGUCCGAGCGUCAUUGCUGCCCUCAAGCACGGCUUGUGUGUUGGGCCUCCGCCCCCCGGCUCCCGGGGGGCGGGCCCGAAAGGCAGCGGCGGCACCGCGUCCGGUCCUCGAGCGUAUGGGGCUUCGUCACCCGCUCCGUAGGCCCGGCCGGCGCCCGCCGGCGACCCCCCUCAAUCUUUCCAGGUUGACCUCGGAUCAGGUAGGGAUACCCGCUGAACUUAAGCAUAUCAAUAAGCGGAGGA